rnacentral:rRNA from 1 species
GACGAACGCUGGCGGCGUGCUUAACACAUGCAAGUCGAACGAUGAAGCUGGAGCUUGCUCUAGCGGAUUAGUGGCGAACGGGUGAGUAACACGUGAGCAAUCUGCCCUUGACUCUGGGAUAACUGCGGGAAACUGUAGCUAAUACCGGAUACUUUCACCGGGGGGCAUCCUCUGGUGAUGAAAGAAUUUCGGUCAAGGAUGAGCUCGCGGCCUAUCAGCUUGUUGGUGAGGUAACGGCUCACCAAGGCGACGACGGGUAACCGGCCUGAGAGGGUGACCGGUCACACUGGGACUGAGACACGGCCCAGACUCCUACGGGAGGCAGCAGUAGGGAAUAUUGCACAAUGGGCGCAAGCCUGAUGCAGCGACGCCGCGUGAGGGAUGACGGCCUUCGGGUUGUAAACCUCUUUCAGCACCGACGAAGCGCAAGUGACGGUAGGUGCAGAAGAAGGACCGGCCAACUACGUGCCAGCCGCCGCUGUAA